UACGUAGGGUGCAAGCGUUGUCCGGAAUUAUUGGGCGUAAAGAGCUCGUAGGCGGUUUGUCGCGUCUGCUGUGAAAAUCCAGGGCUUAACCCUGGACCUGCAGUGGGUACGGGCAGACUAGAGUGCGGUAGGGGAGAUCGGAAUUCCUGGUGUAGCGGUGAAAUGCGCAGAUAUCAGGAGGAACACCAAUGGCGAAGGCAGCUCGCUGGGACGGUACUGACGCUGAGGCGCGAAAGCGUGGGGAGCAAACAGG
rnacentral:rRNA from 1 species